rnacentral:rRNA from 1 species
AUGGAAGCUGAAAGAAGCCAGCUUAGUCCAAUCGACCCAAGAAGAGCUCGGUUUCCUUGUUGCAUAGUGUGGACUCCCAUACCCUUCAUCACAUGGCUGAUGCCAUUUAUCGGUCACAUUGGCAUUUGCAGAGAAGAUGGUGUAAUCUUGGACUUUGCCGGUCCAAAUUUCGUGUCAGUUGACAACUUUGCCUUUGGAGCUGUUACACGCUAUAUCCAAUUAAAUGGUGAUGAGUGCUAUAAACUUCUCGACACCGGCGCAGAGACGACAUGGGAUGGUGCUCUGAGGAAAGGCGUGCAGGAGUUUCAGAACAGGAACUACAACCUGUUCACCUGCAACUGUCACUCCUUCGUCGCCAACAACCUGAACCGGCUCUUCUACGCCGGCCACGACAAGUGGAACGUGGUGAGCCUGGCCGCGGUGAUGUUCCUACGGGGCCGCUGGGUGAGCGCGGGGGCCGCGGUGAAGACCCUGGCGCCAUUCGUUGUGGUGCUUGCCCUUGGGGUUCUCCUCGGCGGCACGACGUUCUUGCUCGGCCUCCUCGCCUUCGCCGCCAUCAUGACCGGGUGGUUCCUCGUGGGCACCUACUGCAUCAAGGGCCUUGUGGAGCUGUAG